GCGCAACCCCUAUUGUUAGUUUGCCAUCAUUCAGUUGGGCACUCUAGCGAGACUGCCGGUAAUAAACCGGAGGAAGGUGGGGAUGACGUCAAAUCAUCAUGCCCCUUAUGACCUGGGCUACACACGUGCUACAAUGGUUGGUACAACGAGUUGCGAGUCGGUGACGGCGAGCUAAUCUCUUAAAGCCAAUCUCAGUUCGGAUUGUAGGCUGCAACUCGCCUACAUGAAGUCGGAAUCGCUAGUAAUCGCGGAUCAGCACGCCGCGGUGAAUACGUUCCCGGGCCUU
rnacentral:rRNA from 1 species